UACGUAGGGGGCAAGCGUUGUCCGGAUUUAUUGGGCGUAAAGCGCGUGUAGGCGGCCAGAUAGGUCUGCUGUGAAAACUCGAGGCUCAACCUCGAGCUGUCGGCGGAAACCAUCUGGCUAGAGUCCGGAAGAGGAGAGUGGAAUUCCUGGUGUAGCGGUGAAAUGCGCAGAUAUCAGGAAGAACACCAACGGCGAAGGCAGCUCGCUGGGACGGUACUGACGCUGAGACGCGAAAGCGUGGGGAGCGAACAGG
rnacentral:rRNA from 1 species